CAAGUCCAAAGAGGUACAAUUAUUUGGGGUUAUUAUUUGUUGAUCUAAAAGCAAAAACAGUGUCACAACACCCAGGAUUUGUAAGUACAGCCAUUCCCCUUGAUAUCAUAUAAUCUAAUCUAAAGAGAACAGAUAUGGUGAUACCUCAUAAUAGCAAUAGCAAACACCAAUCCACUACUACUCUACUACUACUACCACUGCUAGGUACUAGUACUGAGCA